rnacentral:ncRNA from 1 species
AGUAAUGUUAUGGGUGAAGGAAGGGGCUAGCAAAGUUCUCGAGCCUACGCAUAGAAACUUGAUGAGGCUAAAUGGUGGAUAAGGUUGCUAGUCAAACUGAAGUCCAAAAGGUAAACGUAAAACCAAGACAGUAAAUCAAGAGGUUGUGGAACGAAAGAUUA